rnacentral:rRNA from 1 species
AUUGAACGCUGGCGGCAGGCUUAACACAUGCAAGUCGAACGAGUGGCGGACGGGUGAGUAAUGCUUGGGAAUCUAGCUUAUGGAGGGGGAUAACUACGGGAAACUGUAGCUAAUACCGCGUACCACAGGAUGAGCCCAAGUGGGAUUAGGUAGUUGGUGAGGUAAAGGCUCACCAAGCCGACGAUCUCUAGCUGGUCUGAGAGGAUGACCAGCCACACUGGGACUGAGACACGGCCCAGACUCCUACGGGAGGCAGCAGUGGGGAAUAUUGCGCAAUGGGGGCAACCUGACGCAGCCAUGCCGCGUGAAUGAAGAAGGCCUUCGGGUUGUAAAGUUCUUUCGGUAGCGAGGCGUUAACUACAGAAGAAGCACCGGCUAACUCCGUGCCAGCCGCCGCGGUAAUUC